UGUUAUGAGGACACUCAAGCAGUUCUACAGAAAGGUCACGUGGCAAGGAAUGGAGGCCUCCUUCCAACAGUCAGUGAGGAAUUGAGACCUCAUGCCAACAACCAUACAAGGAAAGCCCAGGAUGGACUUCUCUUUCCAGCUAUGUCCCCAUCAGCCUUUGAUGUGAAACAAACUAGGAGUCGCUCCAGGAGCCCCUGAGAA